rnacentral:tRNA from 1 species
GGCAGGAUGGAGAAGUGGAAUCUCACAAGGUUCAUAUCCUUGAGAACGGCGGUUCAAAUCCGUCUCCUGCAA